rnacentral:misc_RNA from 1 species
GGGAGCAACUGACAUGAGCGGCAGCGCCACUCGCGCCCUCUCCCGCUCGCUGCUGGAUCUGUGCCGGAUGCGCAAGCUGACCAUUGCGACCGCCGAGUCCUGCACAGGCGGCCUGGCCGCAGCGGCGCUGACCGAAAUUCCCGGUUCCUCCGACGUCGUCGAUCGUGGCUUCAUCACCUAUUCCAAUGAAGCCAAGCACGCGAUGCUCGGCGUCGAGACCUCGACGCUGGAAACAUUCGGCGC